rnacentral:misc_RNA from 1 species
UCCCGGUUGGCCCGGGCAGUCUCGCAUGAAAAAUACAACAUACGAUAAGGGUUGCGCUCGUUGCGGGACUUAACCCAACAUCUCACGACACGAGCUGACGACGGCCAUGCAGCACCUGUCACUUGGCUCCCGAAGGCACCCCUCUGUUUCCAGUGGGUUCCAAGGAUGUCAAGCCUGGGUAAGGUUCUACGCGUAGCGUCAUAUUAAACCACAUCAUCCUCUGCUUGUGCGGGUCCCCGUCAAUUCCUUUGAGUUUUAGCCUUGCGGCCGUACUUCCCAGGCGGCAUACUUAUCGCGUUAGCUACGACGCACAGGGGGUCGAUACCCCAUACGUCUAGUCAUCAUCGUUUAGGGCGUGGACUAC